AAUAAGUACUGUUUUAGCUCUAUUCAUGUUCAACGUUUCACCAUUCGUCUUAUUUGGAAAAAGUUUAUGAUUAGUAUUUUUAUUGUUAUUAGAUAAUAAAAUAUGAAUAGUACUUUAUGUAUAACUAAUUUUUUAAAUAUUUUUUAAAUAAGACGGAUGGUCAAACCGCUAAACACGGAUAUUUAUGGCUGCAUUUAUU
rfam:Oryza glumipatula chromosome 2, whole genome shotgun sequence.